UCCAGUUUAUCCUGCUGGAGGAUGCGGCUAUUUGGUUUGGGCUUAGACAUGCAAGUUAGAGUAGCAAUACUCGGCGAACUGCUCAGUAACACGUAACUAAUCUGCCCUUAGGUCUUGGAUAACCACGGGAAACUGUGGAUAACACAAGAUAGAGGCGAAUUGCUGGAACGCAAUUGCCUUUAAAGGUAACGCCUAAGGGUGAGGUUGCGGACGAUUAGCUAGUUGGUGGGGUAACUGCCUACCAAGGCAAUGAUCGUUACGGGCUCUUUGCGGAGUUGCCCGGAGAAGGAAUCUGAGACACUAUUCCUAGUUCUACGGAAUGCAGCAGUCGCGAAUCAUUUGCAAUGCACGUAAGUGCGACAAUGCGAACCAAAGUGCCUAUCAUUUUUGAUCGGCUUUUCUUCACCCUAAAAACGUGGAGGAAUAAGGACUGGGCAAGACCGGUGUCAGCCGCCGCGGUAAUCCCGGCAGUCCAAGUCGCAUCCACUAUUAUUGGGUCUAAAACAUCCGUAGCUUGUAUCUUAAGUCCCUUGUGAAAUCCUACGUCUCAAGCGUGGGGCGAGCGGGGGAUACUGAGAUGCUAGAGACCGGUAGAUGUAAGGAGUACAUUGGAGGUAAUGGUUAAAUGUGUUAAUCUUCAAUGGACUAACAAUGAGCGAAGGCACCUUACAAGGACGGAUCUGACAGUGAGGGAUGAAGGCCAGGGGCGCAAAACGGAUUAGAUACCCGUGUAGUCCUGGCAGUAAACACUGCUCACUAAACAUCGGGCCCUCUUCGGGAGGAUUCGGUGCUGAAGCGAAGGUGAAGAGUGAGCUACCUGGGAAGUAUAGUCGCAAGAUCGAAACUUAAAGGAAUUGGCGGGGAGACAUACAACGAGUGACGCGUGCGGUUCAAUUAGAUUCUACACCGUGAACCUCACCAGGAGCGACAGCAGGAUGAAGGACAGUCUGAAGGGCUUUCCUGACACGCUGAGCGGAGAUGCAUGGCCGACGUCAGCCUGUGCUGUGAAGUGACCUGUUAAAUCAGGUAACAGGCGAGACCCGUGCUUAUAAUUACUACAGAAAUGAGUACAUUAUAAGGACUGCCUUGGUAACAAGGAGGAAGGUGCGGCUACGUUAGGUGAGUACGUCCCUAAUCCCCUGGGCUACACGCGCGCGGCAAUGGUACGUUCAAUGAGAUGCAACUCCGAAAGGAGAAGCUAAUCCCCUAAUACGUAUCUCAGUCCAGAUUGAGGGUUGCAACCCACCCUCAUGACGCUGGAAUUCGUAGUAAUCGGAUGUUAGCACCGUCCGGUGAAUAAGUCCCUGUCUCUUGCACACACCGCCCGUCAAACCAACCGAGUUAUGCAGAGUUGAAGCUCGUACGAGGAGAAAUUUUGUAUGACAGGGUAGGUUGAGUCGGCACAAGGU
rnacentral:rRNA from 1 species